rnacentral:lncRNA from 1 species
UCUCUCUAAUAUCAUGAUAAGAUGGUGGUUUGUAUCCAACUCCAUACUUACCAAUCAUUUCACACAUCUUUGCAAAUGCUGGAUUUCUAAUUACAUUAAAAGGAAUGGCACUGGUGUAAAAGAAUUCAGCAACUUGAGCAUCAACUUCUUCUUUGUAUCCUUUUUUCAUCAUUUGAUUUAUAGUUGCUUGAACUCCCCCCUUACUAGUUGUAGCAACUUUUUCUUUUCCUUUAAAACCGAAUACCCUGUGUCCUCCUUCAAGACUCUCACUUUCUUCCUUGUCUUCACCGAUAUUUAUCUUUCUUUUCUUUAAUGAAGCAUUCUUAGCUUCUGCAACUAUAUUUAUCAUCAAAAUUUUUAUUUCAUCCCGAACAGAAGCACAAGGUUCUGAAUCUUCUCUAGUUCCAGCAAGAUGAUGCUUAAAUCUAAAUAUGCC